rnacentral:rRNA from 1 species
ACUCCUACGGGAGGCAGCAGUGGGGAAUAUUGCACAAUGGGGGAAACCCUGAUGCAGCCAUGCCGCGUGUGUGAAGAAGGCCUUCGGUUGUAAAGCACUUCAGUAGGGAGGAAGGUAGUGUAGUUAACACCUGCACUAUUUGACGUUACCUACAGAAGAAGCACCGGCUAACUCCGUGCCAGCAGCCGCGGUAAUACGGAGGGUGCGAGCGUUAAUCGGAAUUACUGGGCGUAAAGCGCAUGCAGGCGGCCUGUUAAGUCAGAUGUGAAAGCCCGGGGCUUAACCUCGGAAUUGCAUUUGAAACUGGCAGACUAGAGUACUGUAGAGGGGGGUAGAAUUUCAGGUGUAGCGGUGAAAUGCGUAGAGAUCUGAAGGAAUACCGGUGGCGAAGGCGGCCCCCUGGACAGAUACUGACACUCAGAUGCGAAAGCGUGGGGAGCAAACAGGAUUAGAUA